AUUGAACGCUGGCGGCAGGCCUAACACAUGCAAGUCGAGCGAGCGGCGGACGGGUGAGUAAUGUAUGAGUAUCCGACAGAUAGAGGGGGAUAACUACUGGAAACGGUCGCUAAUACCGAAUACUCUCGUGUGAACCCAUAUGGGAUUAGCUAGUAGGUGGGGUAAAGGCUCACCUAGGCGACGAUCUCUAUCUGGUCUUAGAGGAUGAUCAGCCACACUGGGACGGAGACCCGGCCCAGACUCCUACGGGAGGCAGCAGUGGGGAAUAUUGCACAAUGUGCGCAAGCCUGAUGCAGCCAUGCCGCGUGUAUGAAGAAGGCCUUAGGGUUGUAAAGUACUGUCAGCGGGGAGGCGUUACCCGCAGAAGAAGCACCGGCUAACUCCGUGCCAGCAGCCGCGGUAAUUC
rnacentral:rRNA from 1 species